AAAUCCAAGCUCAGGAUAGCCCCGGGCGUGUGACAGGAAUUAAUUCUUGCCUCUCUCCGCAGUGCCAGGGCCUCGCCACGCGAUUUGGGCACAGAAGUGGAGGGUGGUAGCAUGCUGCUGCCCACCUCCUGGGACCUCCAGGACGGUGCCUGCUGAGAAAAGGCCCCAAGGAGGAGGGAGACCAGGAGGAGAGCAAGGAAGAGGAGGGCAAGCUGCUGUGCGUGACCAAGGAAACCGAGAGCUGGCUGCCCUUGUGAACUUGCCGAGUGCCUGAUGGAGAACGCGAGGAGAAGAGAGCUGGGGGAGUAUGAAAAACAUUACUUCUCUCCUGCUUAUUGGCGGAGGCAAGAUUGAUUGACUAUAUUUGCUGUACUGGAGAAUUCAUUGAGGCUUCUUCCCCAGCUGCUCAUCUGGCAAGAUCAUCAAGGCUGGGUGAUGACAGACCAACAGCAUGUGACGAGGGGCAUAGCCCCUCAUCUCGGGGUGAAGCUGGCAUCCUAAUGCAGAUAACAAGCCUCCCUGACAAAGGGAACAGAGGAUCAGCAUCAUUUUCUAAGCAUCAUAGAGCUCUGGGACAUCGAUCUACUUGUACUGAGACCAUCGUUGCUUUUGAAGCAGUUCUACUGGAGGCAAUAUUUCUGCCUUCGGGGCCUCCAAAAACUGAAGGAGGCAGCAAAAAGGUGGUGCUGCCAUCACUUGGUGGUGCACCAGCUGUGAUACAGGGCUGGGCUGGAGGAAACAGGGGAGACGAGAUUCAAGGGGUAGUUUUUCCCUUCAGGAGGCGAUGCAGGUGCAGCAGAGCGGUGAAACCCCGGGAGCGUGACGGAAAUCCAGAGCCUGGCUGUGGCUGUGCAAACCUGCUCUGUGUCCUCCCAGCCAGCACGGUUUGGGCUGGGGAACUGACCCCACCCCGCCAUCUCUGCCUGGGAUAA
rnacentral:lncRNA from 1 species